UCUUUUAGAUAGCUCGUUCGGUAGAGCAUGGGACUCUUAAAUCUCAGGGUCAUGGGUUUGACCCCCACGUUGGGCAAAAGAU
rnacentral:tRNA from 1 species